rnacentral:rRNA from 1 species
GACGAACGCUGGCGGCGGGCUUAACACAUGCAAGUCGAACGGAAAGGCCCUGCUUUUGUUGGGUGCUCGAGUGGCGAACGGGUGAGUAACACGUGAGUAACCUGCCCUUGACUUUGGGAUAACUUCAGGAAACUGGGGCUAAUACCGGAUAGGAGCUCCUUCUGCAUGGUGGGGGUUGGAAAGUUUCGGCGGUUGGGGCUGGACUCGCGGCUUAUCAGCUUGUUGGUGGGGUAGUGGCUUACCAAGGCAUUGACGGGUAGCCGGCCUGAGAGGGUGACCGGCCACAUUGGGACUGAGCUACGGCCCAGACUCCUACGGGAGGCAGCAGUGGGGAAUAGUGCACAAUGGGCGGAAGCAUGAUGCAGCAACGCCGCGUGCGGGAUGACGGCCUUCGGGUUGUAAACCGCUUUCGCCUGUGACGAAGCGUGAGUGACGGUAAUGGGUAAAGAAGCACCGGCUAACUACGUG